ACCCUGGUAGUCCACGCUGUAAACGAUGUCGACUUGGAGGUUGUGCCCUUGAGGCGUGGCUUCCGGAGCUAACGCGUUAAGUCGACCGCCUGGGGAGUACGGCCGCAAGGUUAAAACUCAAAUGAAUUGACGGGGGCCCGCACAAGCGGUGGAGCAUGUGGUUUAAUUCGAUGCAACGCGAAGAACCUUACCUACUCUUGACAUCCACGGAAUUCGCCAGAGAUGGCUUAGUGCCUUCGGGAACCGUGAGACAGGUGCUGCAUGGCUGUCGUCAGCUCGUGUUGUGAAAUGUUGGGUUAAGUCCCGCAACGAGCGCAACCCUUAUCCUUUGUUGCCAGCACGUAAUGGUGGGAACUCAAAGGAGACUGCCGGUGAUAAACCGGAGGAAGGUGGGGAUGACGUCAAGUCAUCAUGGCCCUUACGAGUAGGGCUACACACGUGCUACAAUGGCAUAUACAAAGAGAAGCGAACUCGCGAGAGCAAGCGGACCUCAUAAAGUAUGUCGUAGUCCGGAUUGGAGUCUGCAACUCGACUCCAUGAAGUCGGAAUCGCUAGUAAUCGUAGAUCAGAAUGCUACGGUGAAUACGUUCCCGGGCCUUGUACACACCGCCCGUCACACCAUGGGAGUGGGUUGCAAAAGAAGUAGGUAGCUUAAC
rnacentral:rRNA from 5 species